CCUACGGGGGGCAGCAGUGAGGAAUAUUGGUCAAUGGACGAGAGUCUGAACCAGCCAAGUAGCGUGAAGGAUGACUGCCCUAUGGAUUGUAAACUUCUUUUAUAUGGGAAUAAAUUGUUCCACGUGUGGGAUUUUGUAUGUCUCAUUUGAUUAAGGCACGGCUAACUCCGUGUCAGCAGCCGCGGUAAUACGGAGGUUCUGAGCGUUAUCCGAAUGUAUUGGGUUUAAAGGGAGCGUAGGUGGAUUGUUAAGUCAGUUGUGAAAGUUUGCGGCUCAACCGUAAAAUUGCAGUUGAAACUGGCAGUCUUGAGUACAGUAGAGGUAGGCGGAAUUCGUGGUGUAGCGGUGAAAUGCUUAGAUAUCGCGCAGAACCCCGAUUGCGAAGGCAGCGUGCCGUGCCGCCACUGACGCUGAGGCACGAAAGCGCGGGGAUCGAACAGGAUUAGAUACCCCUGUAGUC
rnacentral:rRNA from 1 species